UCAAGUGUUCUCGGCCUCCCAAAAUGCUGGGAUUACAGGUGUAAGCCACCAUGCCUGGCUUAAAGCCCUUUUUAAAUGAGGAGUUGUUGGUCCUCUUAGACACAGAACAAGUGUGUUAAAUAAAUGAGACAGGAGACAUCAAAUGGUGACUAGUUUGUUGUUUUUUUUACUGAACCAUGUUAACUGAAAUGAGGAGGACACAGAGGGGACAACAGGGUCAGGAAACUUUUAUGAAGGUGUAAUGUUAAUACGAUGGCACUUCUGCUGACAGUGUCCUCCUCAGAAGUUGCCUGCCCUGAGGCUCCUUAAAACAGACUAGCUGAAUUUCCAUACCUGCCCCUGCUGUUCUCUUUGCCUCACUAGUUGUCUUCCUCCAAUUUCUUCCCAAGUGAGCCUUCAUGAUGUAUUCAUGAUGAGCCUUUGUGAUAUACUCUUCAAGACCAGCCUUUUAGCAAGAAAGGGUUUUAUAUCUAGUCUUUUAUAUCUCUGUUAAAUGUGGCAAGCAGAGAAAACUUUAUAGCCAUCACUUAGAUGAAAUAUAGCAAUGUAACGAAACCUAUGUUAUAAAAACCACGUUUGUUUUACUUUCCUUUCUCUUUGUCCUUAACUUCCUCCAGUCAGGAUUGCUUGCACAUAGUCAUUUUGGUAGUGGGUAGUCACUAAUAAGUGAUUAACUUCAUAUCCUAACCCCCAGGGGAUGUUUGCAAGAUUAAUGAGCUUGUUUUUCUUAUAAAGAACAAUGAUCCUUGGUCAUGCUGACCUCCUUGAUAGCAUGCAGAAGUUUGGCCAAGGGAUGCAAGCAGCUUUGAUAAUCAGGAGAUCUCACUUCCCACACACCUUCCUUACUCAUAAAAGCCACCAGUUAUGUUCAAAGGGAGGUUGAUAUGAGAAUUUGCCUCUCCCACCCUCAUAUUUUGGUAAACUUGAAAAAACCUUUCUCUGCUCUGAGGCACUGAUAUGUCAGUGUUUGGCUUACCGAGCAACAGGUACCUGAACCAAACUUACAGCGUUGUGCAACAGAUUUUGUCAACCAUGCUAGGGCUAGCAUGGCAGCAGGCGCGGGCCGUGUCAGGCGAAUGAGUUCCAGAAGCUGCCCAGGUUUGUUUGUUGGGGGGCCGUAAAGUCAGUCUUCUGCGUCAGUGUCAGCUGCCGUUGGUGCUCUAGAAGCUUAGAGCAGAGAAACAUUUCAGACUGCUAUCUGGACUUCCAGUUUUGGUUUGAAGCGUAAGUCGCUGCUGUGUACACAGCCACAUCUCUCAUUCUCUCUGCUUAUAAUGUGAAUAGGGCAUUCUGGGGAGUAAUAGAAUGGUGGAUUAUACCCAUUUGCUUGUUUCCUGUAAGAGUUUGGUUUUUUUGUUUGUGAUUUUUUGGGCUUUUUUUGUUUUGUUUUUUUGGGUUGUGUGUCUGUGUGUGUGUGUUUGUUUUUUGGGGGGUGUGUGUGUUUUUAGUGUGUGUGUGUCUGUGUCUGUGAAAAGACUGAACAUGGUAAAUUUGGAAUUGAUCCCACAGAGUAGCAUCCUUGGCUGUAUUCUCCAGAUUUGGGCCACUUUCAGCUAUGAGUUCAUGAAGAAAAAUAAAAUGCUUUUUUAUUGUAACGCUGCUUGGCCAGAAUAUGUCUUAGAGUUUGGGGACAAAUGGCCGACACACUGUUCUUUAAGUUAUGCUACUAUAAUGCAACUGGAACUAUUCUGUAAGACAAGAGAAAAUAGGAUGCAAUCCUGUAUGUCCAGGCUUCCAUGCUCUUAUAUCAGAAUGAACCUACUCAAAAGAGGUAUAAUUUGAUGCUGCAAAAGAAAAAACAACCUAAACCUACGGUUUUACACUCCCCCUCAUUAGAUGGGGAAGACAGGACACUGGUGCUUUGAAUCCCCUGAAUAAUCAUCCUGAUCCUCUGCCCCUUCCCCAGUCAGCUGUAGCUCCAGCACCACCCCCUCCUUAUGGGAUUGUCUGGAGUAGGAGGGGAACACUCCCAAACCUGUCCUCCCUAUGGAAUUAGGGUAGGCUGUGGUCUCCCCUUCCUGCAAUGAACAGAAAACCCAAUUUGGCCAGGGAGCCACUGGCCCCUUGGUAGGGCAGUUUCCUUUGCAUCAGUUCCCUACUAGGGGACUAAACGUGAAUGGACAACAGGUUGGCAUGGUGUGGGUACAUUUCCUUUUCCCACUUUGGAUCUGUUCAGUUGGAAAAACAGUAAUCCCCCCUAUCCCAAUGUAAGCGAAUGGCUGAGCUCUUCUUGUCUAUAUUUCUGACCUAUCAACCCCACAAGGCAGAUAUUCACUUUGUUAAAGUGCUGCUCACGUCAGAAGAAAGGCAUGUAGUCACAGAAAAGGCUAGGGAAGAGGCAAACCAGCUCUGUCUGGAGGUGGGAAACAAUCGCCCCUUGCAAAGGGUCAGUCCCCAACACAGAGCCCAACUGGGAUGUAAAUGAUGGGGUCUUUCCCACUUAGGACACUAUCAGAAUUACAUUAUUGAAGGUUUAAAGAAAGGGGUUCCUCAGGUAAAGAACCUCAAUAAGGUACAGGAAGUUCAGCAGCAAGCAUAUGAGGACCCUUCAUAAUUCAUAGAAAGAUGUCAUCAGACAUAAUGAAAAGUAGAUUGACACUAACCCUGAGGCACCCGACAAUCAGAGAAUGGUCAGUGUGACCUUAAUCAGCCAGAAGCCCUGAUAUUCAAAGAAAACUGCAAAUAGUAAGUGAGAUCCUUGGGUUGCCAAUCUCAUAGUUAGUGGAGUUAGCUUUUAAAGUAUACUAUGCUCAGGACGAGGCUCAGGAAAAGUGCAAAUUGAAGCAACAAGUAACCUGCUGGCAGCUGCACUUGACUACCAACCUAAAGGAAAAGGAAGAAAUCAAAGUUAAGAGGGGUCCAUGCCCCCUUAUGAAAAAAAAUGUGCCUAUUGUAAGAAGGAGGGACAUGGGAAAAAGGACUGUCCCAAAUUGACCAAAGCAGCUGGCAAGUGCAGUCUCCCUCAAAAUCAGAUGAGGAGAGAAAAGAAUAUUUAGAUGAAGACGGAUGUAUCACAGGGAGUCCCUUAGAUUUGGAGCAACUGGUGGCUAUAUCCCCACAGGAGCCCUGGAUACAACUGACAGUGGGGAACAGAAUGAUGGACUUUUUAGUUGACACAGUGCCACAUAUUAAGUAAUUAACAAUUGUCUCUCUCCAACUUUGGGAAAAACCAUUACUGUUACAGGAAUACUGGGAGACACCAUUACCCCUUUAUACAAUCCCUAGGUUACCAUUUAGGAGUGACCAGCUUAGAGCAUAGUUUCUUAUACAUGCUUAAUGCCCAGUGUCCCUCCUGGGCUGGGAUUUGCUUGCCAAAUUGUAUGCUCAACUUCUUUCCCCUCAGAUGCCUAGAUAUAAUGAUUCCUUCUGAGUAAGUUUGCAGGUUUCAAAUAUUCCUGCUCCAACCAGAAAACGAAGAGGUUCAGGUCAUUCCAGAAGAAAUUCUCAUGCAGACAUGCCACUUCAUCCCUUCCAGGCUGCAGACCAAGUCUUAAUUAAAACCUGGAGGGAGACUGGAUUCGAUCACCAACUAGUCCCUCAAAAGGUAAGACUCUAUGAGGAUCUUCUGAUCGUGCAUUCAUCUAUCAGGCAGGAAUUAAACCAUGGGUACCUUAUACCUGGAUAAAAAUUGCCCCUCCUCAGCCCAACCUAUCAGUUUAACAGACCUGAAUGGAUAUGUGAACCAACUAAAAACCUGAAGCUGCUUUUUAAGAAAAUAUCCAUAGAUAAAUGACACCUUCUGUCAUUUAAUUUUGAGAUUCCUGCUAAAUACCACAGUAAUAAAUGCUUAUAGUAUCUGCUGAAACCAAUCUUUUCCUACAAUGGGCACAUUAUGCACAUAGCCUACAGAAGCUCAUUGAGUUUGAGGACUGUUACCUAUCUCUAGCACCUCUGUAUUACCUUGGUGGGUCUUGCCCUUGCAAGGAGACCACUGGGUACAUUAACAAACUUUUAUGAAAUACCAUUCCAAUAAAAACUAGGUCUCUGGUGUGCUAACAUGAGAAACUGUAAGGCCUGGCAUUAAUAGAAUGCUUCACAACCCAGGUCACAGAAAAUCUUUUACUAUAAAUCAGUGUUCAACAAACUUCUGAAUAUACUACUCUCAUGAAGGAAUUUCCCUCGGCAGCUCCCCAAAUUUUGGCUAUUAACAGCCGCUACACUGAAGAAAGUUUUUUAUCACACUUGGGAUUAUCUUUGAAUGAUAGUGCUACCCAACACUUACCCUGCCACCAGCUGCAUAAAUCAAAUUUCCCCUUUAUGUUGGGAACAACAACAAAAGCAUUCUUAUGAUCACUGGACAAAUAUCACUAAGAAUAUGGGCUGGAUGCUCCCCCACCAAUGUGAACACACUUCAAGGCUGCAGGAAACUGACUGGUUUGCUAUUGAUUGGACACAGGCCAGGAAUUCUAUGGCUAACUGCAUAUGAAAUUCAAUGGCAAUGUGGGACUAAUCUUUGGCCUAGAUUACCCAUUAGCCAGAUAGGACAAUAUGCUCUGGGAUUCCCACAGAUCCAGAGCCAUUUGUCAAAAACCAACAGACAACCCUCAAAUUUCUCAAAUGUGUUCCACCAAUGGACCAAGUCGGUUUUCCUCUGGUAUGACCAUCCCCUAUCCAUUUCUGUUCCCCAAGUUAGUUUAGAAAAUGUUAUCUGACAUGUUGAGAUCCUAACAAAUUAUACCCAGCAUGUGCUAAAAGAUGCAAAGGCAUCUCUUUAGUCACCUCUCAGAUGACUAUGAUGAGAAAAGCAGUCUUGUAGAACCACAUGGCCCUCAAUGUCUUCAUGGCUGCACAAGAACUUGUGCCAUAAUAAAAACUGAAUGCUAUGUGUACAUUCCAAGCAAUUAAGGAAACAUCACCCUGGCCCUUCAAGAUAUGUACAAACUGAUACUGUGUCUAACUUCAUGAUGUCACUAAGCCGAUGACUAUCUUCAUGGUUCUGGUCACAACCCUUGUGGAAAAAAUUACUGGUAAUUCUAGCUAUGACUAUAGGUACAGGAAUACUCCUAGGCUGUGGAUUAUACUGCUGCUGCACUAUACAUGUGGGAUUGCAAGGUUGCCUCUCUGAAGUUCCUGACACCCUGUUCAACGAUGCUACAACAAAAUUGCCCAAGUCCUGGGACAUUGAGUAUUUUCAAUUGCAGGUAAAGAAGUUCCAUUCCUCAGCCCACUAGGGAUGCCCCUUGCAAGCAGGAAGUAGUUAUACUGAGUCAACAUCCCAACUCAAGAUUGAGGAAUGGAACAGUGUCAGUGAGGAUAUGAUAACACAGCAGAUACUAUAAAAAUCAUCAGGUAUUUAGUUUACUUAGUUUUUAUCUCUUUGUCCUUAACUUCCUCCAGGCAGGAUUGCUUGCACGUAGUCAUUUUGGUAGACAGUAGUUACUAACAAGUGAUUAACUUCAUUAGCCUUUUUUUUUUUUUUAAUUGCAUUUUAGGUUUUUGGGUACAUG